GACGAACGCUGGCGGCGUGCUUAACACAUGCAAGUCGAGCGGUAAGGCCCUUCCGGGGGUACACGAGCGGCGAACGGGUGAGUAACACGUGGGUGACCUGCCCUCAGCUCUGGGAUAAGCCUGGGAAACCGGGUCUAAUACUGGAUAUGACUCCAUGACGCAUGUUGUGGGGUGGAAAGCCUUGUGCGGCUGAGGAUGGGCCCGCGGCCUAUCAGCUUGUUGGUGGGGGAUGGCCUACCAAGGCGACGACGGGUAGCCGGCCUGAGAGGGCGACCGGCCACACUGGGACUGAGAUACGGUCCAGACUCCUACGGGAGGCAGCAGUGGGGAAUAUUGCACAAUGGGCGAAAGCCUGAUGCAGCGACGCCGCGUGAGGGAUGAAGGCCUGG
rnacentral:rRNA from 1 species